rnacentral:lncRNA from 1 species
GGGUAUGGCAGGAGAUUUGGCUGGAAGAUGCCUACCAGGCGCUCUGGUGGUAUGGGGCACAGUACUAGCAUGACAAGCCAGAGGGAGAGGAGUUUGAUGGUCCUGGCUUGUUAUGGGAGUCCUUUGCAGAGCCUGACUUCGGGAGCCCUGCGCAGAACAGACUUCAGGAAAUUUUCUACGAGAGGGAGGCUAGGCAUGACUGGGAUGACCCCCAUGAGGUAGAGCAAGACCUGGC